rnacentral:misc_RNA from 1 species
GAUGAAGAACGUAGCAAAAUGCGAUAAGUAAUGUGAAUUACAGAAUUCAGUGAAUCAUCGAAUCUUUGAACGCACAUUGCGCCCGCCAGUAUUCUGGCGGGCAUGCCUGUUCGAGCGUCAUUUCAACCCUCAAGCACAGCUUGGUGUUGGGACUCGCGUUAAUUCGCGUUCCCCAAAUUGAUUGGCGGUCACGUCGAGCUUCCAUAGCGUAGUAGUAAAACCCUCGUUACUGGUAAUCGUCGCGGCCACGCCGUUAAACCCCAACUUCUGAAUGUUGACCUCGGAUCAGGUAGGAAUACCCGCUGAACUUAAGCAUAUCAAUAAGCGGAGGA